AUGAAUCAUCGGCGGCGAAAAGAGGCUAUGCGCGACCCAGUAUUUACUGAGGAGGCGCUUAACACCCUCAUCUCUGUGGAUGCAUAUAUCCGAGCUGCUCGGGACGGGCUUGCCGGGGCCACUCACCUGCUUUCAAAAGAUAUGCGGGUUCUCAAGGAAAAGAAUGACGUGUUAUCCAAGGAGCUUGAAGCGAACCACAUCAAGCUGAAUGCCGUCACCACCGAGCUAGAAGACCUAAAGAAAUCCAAAAAGGGAUCUAAUGUGGCGGAAUCGGUAGAUCAACUGGAGGAGAAGCUAAAAGCUUCUCAGGAGGACAAAAAAUAUGCCGAAGGGCAGGAAGCAGCGGCUCAACGUGUAUUAACAUAG
rnacentral:rRNA from 1 species